AAUGAAGGUGAUGAUAUUUUCUUAUGUGAAUAUGAAUAUGACAUACAUUGGCACAGUUUCAAGCGUCUUGCAGAGAUC
rfam:Vitis vinifera, whole genome shotgun sequence of line PN40024, chromosome 6, chr6